CUUUAUUGAUUGGUUUUUGGUUUAUUUAAUUCAUUUUUUGUUCGGUAUUGGUGAAAAAGUGUUGGGUUUUUUUAAUAGUGAUAGCAUAAGGUGUUUUAUUUGGUAGAAUAUGUUUAGUUCGUUUGCCUUUUGUAUAAUGACUUAGUGAGUGUAAACAAUGUUUAAUUGGUACAUUGAAGUGAGUUGAUUUAUUUUUAAUUGGUGGCUUAAUAGUUGAAAUUUUAGGUCUGUUUAAAAUAGGUGUGAUAUGUGAAUCGAAACUUAGGAUAGCUAGUUAUUAUUGAUUUUUUUUUGAGUUACUAUAUUACGUCGGUUUGAUUUAGGGACAGCUUAAAUCAAUGGAAAUUUUUGGCUUGAUUUUUAAUUAGAUAAUCUGGUUUUUAAUUAUGUGUGUUAGUAGGUAUUGUUAUAAGUAGUGACUAUAAUGCUAAGAUGAGUAUAAGUGUAUUUAAUUUAUAAUUAAAUUGAAGUGUGUCUAAUUUUAGUUUAUGGAAAUAUCUUAUUAAGGAAUUUGGCUGUAGAUUUGUGGGUUUACUAAAGACUUAGUUUAUUGAUGCAGAUAGUAGACAGCAUCUGCACAGUGUUUAGAUAGAUGGCGCAAGAGGCUUAAUGUAGCGUAGUAAUUUGACUAUUAAUUGUAGUCUAGUGAUAGGUGUCUCAGGUCUUAGUUGUCUCGAUAAGAAUAUUAGAAAUUUUUUUUUGGUGAAAAUACCAAAACAACCAAAAAAGAAAAAAAGACCCUGGGUGGUUAAGGUUAAUCUACUUAAUUUAAGUUGAAAGCCUUUAACUGGGGCAGUUGUUGAUGUGAUUUAAUUUCAGAGAUAUUUUAAUUAGUGUUAUUUUGUGUUAUGAUCCCUGAUUUAAGGAAGUGAAGAACCAACCCCAGGGAUAACAGCGCAAUCAAUUAGGAGAGUUCAUAUCGAUUAAUAGGAUUACGACCUCGAUGUCGACUUAGGUUGUUAGCUACGCGCAGAAGUGUAGCUUGUUUGUUUGUUCACCAAUUAAGAACCUACGUGAGUUGGGUUUAGAACGGGGAGACUUAGUUCGGAUUUUUUCUUUUAAUUUUAUAGAUAUUAGUACGAAAGGAUUAUAUUUAGGUAGUGAUAUUUAAAGUGGAUAUGUGUGUUUAGCAUGUCUAGUGUGAGUUGUU
rnacentral:rRNA from 1 species